rnacentral:rRNA from 1 species
AUGGGUAUGGGUGCCGCUGCCUUCUUCUACCUCCUGCUGUCCCUCUGGGCUCAGGAUGCAACCGCGGCUGACCUUGGCCUCACAAGAAGCGAUUUCCCACGGGAGUUCGUCUUUGGAUCUGGGACCUCGGCAUAUCAAUAUGAGGGUGCUGUUGCUGAGGAUGGCAGGAGCCCAAGCAACUGGGACACUUUCACUCACGCAGGCAGAAUGGCAGACAAAAGCACAGGAGAUGUUGCUGCAGAUGGGUACCACAAAUACAUGGAGGAUGUCAAGCUCAUGUCUGAGACAGGCCUAGAGGCCUAUAGGUUCUCCAUAUCCUGGUCAAGGCUCAUUCCAAGUGGACGCGGAGCUGUCAACCCCAAGGGGCUAGAGUACUACAAUAACCUCAUUGAUGAGCUAGUGAAUCAUGGAAUUCAAGUACACAUCACACUUCACCAUGUAGAUCUCCCUCAAGUUCUCGAAGACGAGUAUGGUGGAUGGUUAAGCCCCAAAAUUGUUGAAGAUUUCACAGCAUAUGCAGAUGUUUGCUUCAGGGAGUUCGGAAACAGGGUUGCAUCCUGGACAACUAUGGACGAGGCAAACAUCGGUGUACUUGGCUCUUAUGGCAAUGCUCUAUUUCCUCCUGGCCGUUGCUCAGAUCCAUUUGGAGCAACAAAGUGCACCGCUGGGGACUCUAGCAUCGAACCAUACAUAGCCGCUAAUAAUAUCCUUAUGGCGCAUGCAUCAGUUUUCAGACUGUACAGAGAUAAAUAUCAACACAAGCAGAAAGGAAUUGUUGGCAUAAAUAUCUACUCCUACUGGAGUUAUCCACUGACAAAUGCCACCGCGGAUCUAGAAGCAACUCAGAGAUGUAAAGAUUUCUUGUAUGGCUGGAUACUAGAGCCAUUGGUGUUUGGGGACUACCCACAAGUAAUGAAGAAGAAUGUCGGCUCUCGCCUUCCACCCUUCACAAACGUUCAGUCUGAACUUAUCAAGGGUUCCUUAGAUUUUAUUGGAAUAAAUCACUAUUUUUCUGUCUACGUGAAUGAUCGCCCUCUAGAUACAGGUGUUCGAGACUACACCGCAGACAUGUCAAUUGAUUCAAGAGGUUCUAGGACCGACCCGCCAGCUGGUCAGGGCCCCCCAACACACACUACAAGUGAUCCCAAAGGGUUGCAACUUGCACUGGAGUACCUGAAAGAAACCUAUGGGAACCUUCCCGUCUAUGUCCAAGAGAAUGGUAUGGGAUCUGCUGACGACAGUCUGGAUGACACCGACAGGAUCGGUUACCUGAGCAGCUACAUGGAGGGCACACUAGAGGCGAUGAGGAAUGGAGCCAACGUGGGAGGCUACUUCGCCUGGGCAUUCAUGGACCUGUUCGAGCUCCUGGCGGGGUACCAGUCAAGGUACGGACUGUAUCGGGUCGACUUCGCCGAUGAGAGGCGGCCGCGGCAAGCCAGGCUCUCGGCUCGCUGGUACUCCGGCUUCCUCAAGCACAACGGAACCUCUGCGCUCGCGUCGAGAGCGCAGAUUGAUGAGUUCGUGAUGUACGGAAAGAGAAUGCCUUGGAAAUACCGGUCAUACGAAAGAGGACUUAUUACUAUUGAGAUAUUGUGGUGA